GCUGUUGCUUAUGGGAUGACCAUGCUAAAGAAUUAUCAGCUUUCUUGAAUGAUCCAGCAAGCCAAGACACUAGAAUUCUAAUGAUAAUUCAGAAUGCCAAACUUGGCGAGUGGCAGGGCAACCCCCAAGUAUCAAACUCCAUGUUUGGAACAAAACUGUGGAUUAAUGACCAACUUCCAGAGACACUUGCUUUCAAAGAAAGAUUGAUGUCUAGCAAACUCGAGAUCAACACUUCUGAUCGACAGUUUUCUACCAACACAAUUAUCACUAACCCUCA